AUCUGGCAGGAGCCCUCUGCUCCUCAUUUGGGCGCCCUCAGGGACGCACGCCCAGGGGUGUUCUGGGAAAUUUAGCAGGGAAGGCCCAGUUCCUCAUGGACGUGAGACCUUCCCACCCAGCGUCUCCCCGAACACGGCCGAAUAACAGAAGAUCUUCUUCAGAAACCUCAAGCUCCGAUGAUGCCUUCAGACCCAUGAAGAUGGAGUGUGAAAUUCCAUGAAUAUCGAGUCUAUUUUCUGGACCCCAGAGCUGUGCGUCUUCCUCUCUGUCGGGCUCAUUCUGAAGCACAGUCCCAGCAUCCAUAUGGCAGAUGCAGCAUCCACGUGGCAGAUGCUUCCUGGACACUCUUAACAGCAUCCACAUGGCAGACGCUUCCUGGACACUCUUAACAGUCACAGGACACUUGGGCUAGUCAGGACACAGAGGACACAGCAGGCUGCAGCUGCAGAGCUUGAAAAGAUUUAUUUUAAAAGCCCAAGGGGAUAAAUACAGCAUCUCUCACAUUACUCCAUACUUAAAAAUAUUUGGAUUAAUUAUAUUAAAAAUUUGCAUUCAAAAGCGUU
rnacentral:lncRNA from 1 species